rnacentral:rRNA from 1 species
UACGUAGGGUGCAGGCGUUAAUCGGAAUUACUGGGCGUAAAGGGCUCGUAGGCGGCCAACUAAGUCAGACGUGAAAUCCCUCGGCUUAACCGGGGAACUGCAUCUGAUACUGGAUGGCUUGAGUUCGGGAGAGGGAUGUGGAAUUCCAGGUGUAGCGGUGAAAUGCGUAGAUAUCUGGAGGAACACCGGUGGCGAAGGCGGCAUCCUGGACCGACACUGACGCUGAGGAGCGAAAGCCAGGGGAGCAAACGGG